CCUACGGGCGGCUGCAGUGGGGAAUAUUGCACAAUGGGCGCAAGCCUGAUGCAGCCAUGCCGCGUGUGUGAAGAAGGCCUUCGGGUUGUAAAGCACUUUCAGCGGGGAGGAAGGCGGUGAGGUUAAUAACCUCAUCGAUUGACGUUACCCGCAGAAGAAGCACCGGCUAACUCCGUGCCAGCAGCCGCGGUAAUACGGAGGGUGCAAGCGUUAAUCGGAAUUACUGGGCGUAAAGCGCACGCAGGCGGACUGUCAAGUCGGAUGUGAAAUCCCCGGGCUCAACCUGGGAACUGCAUUCGAAACUGGCAGGCUAGAGUCUUGUAGAGGGGGGUAGAAUUCCAGGUGUAGCGGUGAAAUGCGUAGAGAUCUGGAGGAAUACCGGUGGCGAAGGCGGCCCCCUGGACAAAGACUGACGCUCAGGUGCGAAAGCGUGGGGAGCAAACAGGAUUAGAUACCCGUGUAGUC
rnacentral:rRNA from 1 species